UCUCUAGUGGCUCUAGUGGUAAAGAAUCUGCCUGCAAUGCAGGAGACCUGGGUUCAAUCCCCAGGUUGGGAA
rnacentral:tRNA from 1 species